UGGAAGAUUGAGACGUUAGCUGAGGUGUUGGGAUCAGCGGGGUCUGAAAGUGAAGCUUUGAGCCCCUGGCUCGGCUCCGUCCACGUGUCGGGGAGAAGGCCCAUCACGCCGGAAACAUCCGGAACUGCAGAGACGACCAAGUCCGAGGAGGGAACAGGUCCAGGGUUCAGGGUCUGGGUUUCUGGGUCCGCCUGAUGCCACYGGCUGCACUGAAAGACUGGAUGAUGACCUCAGCUGCAGAACCUCAGCAGAACCUCAGCAGAACCUCAGCAGGACUUCAGCUGCAGAACCUCAGCAGAACCUCAGCUGCAGAACCUCAGCAGGACUUCAGCUGGAGAACCUCAGCAGGACUUCAGCU